rnacentral:misc_RNA from 1 species
AAGGAGUCUAACACGUAUGCGAGUAGUAAGGUGGCAAACCCAUACGCGUAAUGAAAGUGGAUGGAGGUGGGAUCCUUUACCGGAGCACCAUCGACCGAUCCGCAUUUUUAAUGAUGGAUUUGAGUAAGAGCACGUAUGUUGGAACCCGAAAGAUGGUGAACUAUGCCUGAAUAGGGUGAAGCCAGAGGAAACUCUGGUGGAGGCUCGUAGCGGUUCUGACGUGCAAAUCGAUCGUCAAAUUUGGGUAUAGGGGCGAAAGACUAAUCGAACUAUCUAGUAGCUGGUUCCUGC